AUGGGACAUUUGUACAAUCCACAUAUGAAGAUAAGGGAAAAGGAGAAGUUUAUGUUGUGUUCAAAAAGUCCUCUCACGUCACUUUUGGGCCAAGAGAAGAUAGAGUCCAAGUCUCUCACGUUCUGGAUUCAGAUUCGGACUGCACAGACAUACCUGACUCAAAACGCCAACAACUUUUUCAUACGGACUCCGAAUUGGGUGAUUCUUUUUUUGUUGGAAACUAGAUUUCGUGCUCUUUCCAACCCAAUUAGAUUCACCUUCAAAUUCAUCCGGAGCGUUGAGUUACGGACGAAACAAUCUGACAUUGCAGCAGAAUCUGAGUCAAACUACAAGCCCAAAGGUGUUGCAUCACCUCCACUUGGGCCCAUGAGCCUUGUACGACCUAGGGUUAGUUUUAGGCUGCCUUGGGACGUCCUCCUACCUCCUUGGCCGCCACCCCUUGCUCCUAUAUAA
rnacentral:rRNA from 1 species